rnacentral:rRNA from 1 species
UACAGAGGGUGCAAGCGUUAAUCGGAAUUACUGGGCGUAAAGCGUGCGUAGACGGUUAUGUAAGUCGGGUGUGAAAGCCCCGGGCUCAACCUGGGAAGUGCACUCGAAACUGCGCAGCUAGAGUCCUGGAGAGGAAGGUGGAAUGCUUGGUGUAGAGGUGAAAUUCGUAGAUAUCAAGCGGAACACCGGUGGCGAAGGCGGCCUUCUGGACAGUGACUGACGCUGAGAUGCGAAAGCGUGGGGAGCAAACAGG